rnacentral:lncRNA from 1 species
AUGUGUGUCAUCCAUAAAGGCCCCUCCAGCGUUUCUGGUCUCUGGCUCUGUGAACAUUCUCAGAAUGUUCUGAAUGUUCUCAGAACAUUGGAAGGAAUAGGUGAUAGUGCAAGAAGUAGCAGCACAGGCCCAACUGACCAGGGACGCUUAAAGGCCGAGCUGGCCCUGGGAAAAAUGAUGAGUGACUUCUAUUUUUUGCUAUCAUUCCAAUUUCUCUCUUCAGCAGUGUCACUCCUGCCCAAGCUUCAGGGUCCUAGCAUAUUUUGUCCCCCUCACUUAAAUGUCAUUUUAUAAAAAGAUGUGCCUAACUCAUUUUUUCUAAAGAGUAUAUAUAACUGGUCAAGCUAAAUGUACUUGCCUUCAUGGGAGUGUCAACCUUUACUGCAAGACAAGGUCUUCAGCAGGUAAAUUUCAAACUUUUUAAACUCAUGUUCUCUGCUUUUUUUAAACAUAAAAGUCUCAGAUCUUCCAUUCUGAUGUAGCUCCCUGGGAGCCACAGUGUUGUCUGUACAUUCCUGCCACUCAAGAAGACCUUGUUAUGCUUUAUUUUCUGAAGUCUGUGUUGUGGAAACAUUUCUGUGUUUUCCAAAUAUGAAUUAUAACAUUUAAUUCUGCUCUUUCAACACUCCCCACGCCCCUGCCCCUUGCUUUGGCCCCUGCAACCCCAAGGUACCCUAAAAAAGUGCAGGUUUCUCUCCCCACCCAACCCUCAGUCAAAGAUCCCUGUCUCAAGUUGUGGCAGAAUAUAUUUACCAAGAUGGCAUGAGGAAGAUCUCCCCUUCCGUGUGUUCCUGUGACGAUGUAACAGUGUAACAUCAACACUCCUCUCACUGAGAGGUGAGGUCUAUAUCCUCUCCACUGAUUCUAUUGGGUCACCUGAGACUAUGAAAGAAGUGGCACUACGUGACUUCUGAUGCUAGGUCAUAAAAAGCAAGAGUUCCCACCUGGUCCUGUUGGGACUUUCAUUCUCGGAGCCUAGCCACCAUGCAGCAAGGAAGCCUAACCCACAGGAGAGACCAUGUGUUGGUGCUCCAGCCAACAGUUCCUGCUGAGGUCCCAGCCAACAGCCAGCAUCAACCACCAACAAGAAGAAGAGCCCUAGGGAUCCUGAUAACCUAGAGUGACAUCAUGUUGAAAACCUGGAAUGUGAAAUCACCUAUCUUCAAGCUGUUAGGCACUAGGAGAAGGAGCUGGAGAGCUGGAGAUUAGCAAAAAGCUCAGCAGCCACAAAGACGGGUUGACUAGGAAAUACAGGGUAUUUAAAAUAAAUUUCAUGUAUGUACAUUGCAUUCAAGCUGCUCCUGCUUUAUUUUUGAGAUCUAAAUAUUUAUGAAAUGUUUAUCAAUAAACACUGGCAAUGUGUACUUUUUUAUCUGGUUACCUGGGAGUUCGAAUGAUCUUUUUCUUUAAAAGAUACCCAUCAUAUAUAUUUUAUAUACACGUAUGUAUCUUUGAUAUAUAGGAAUCAAAA